rnacentral:rRNA from 1 species
CGUGAGGAACUUGCCCAUGAGCGGGGACAACAUUCGGAAACGGAUGCUAAUACCCCAUAGGUGGAUUGGUCGCAUGACUAAUUCAUUAAAGGUGGCUCUGCUACCACUCAUGGAUAGCCUCGCGGCGUAUUAGCUAGUUGGUAAGGUAAUGGCUUACCAAGGCAGUGAUACGUAGCCGACUUGAGAGGGUGAUCGGCCACACUGGGACUGAGACACGGCCCAG